GUUUAAAUAGUUUAACAAAAACAUCGGUUUGUGGAGCCGAAGAUAUGAUUAAAUUUCAUUUUAGACC
rnacentral:tRNA from 1 species